UCAGUAAACCAGUCAUGAUUCACUCGAGUAUACAUGACUGUCUUUGGAUAACUGUGGUAAUCCUAGAGCUAAUACAUGCAAUCAAGUCCCGACCAGUCUGACUGGGAAGGACGCUUUUAUUAGAUCAAGACCAAUCGCCCGGUUCGUCCGGGCGUUGCCUUGGUGACUCUAGGUAACACAUCAGAUCGCACGGUCCUCGCACCGGCGACUUAUCCUUCAAAUGCCUGACUUAUCAACUGUCGAUGGUAGACUCUAUGUCUACCAUGGUUGUAACGGGUAACGGGGAAUCAGGGUUCGAUUCCGGAGAGGGAGCCUGAGAAACGGCUACCACAUCCAAGGAAGGCAGCAGGCACGCAAAUUACCCACUCCCGGCACGGGGAGGUAGUGACAAAAAAUAACGAUACGGGACUCUUUUGAGGCCCCGUAAUCGGAAUGAGUACACUUUAAAUCCUUUAACAAGGAUCCAUUGAAGGGCAAGUCUGGUGCCAGCAGCCGCGGUAAUUCCAGCUUCAAUAGCGUAUAUUAAAGUUGUUGCGGUUAAAAAGCUCGUAGUUGGUUCUGCGUGCCACGCUGUCGGUUCGCCGCCUGCCGGUGUAACUGGCAUGCCGUGGCAUGUCCUGUCGGUGGCGUUCGGGAGCCUCGUCUAGGCGACGGCCCUUGCCUAAAGCUUGGUGUCCGGAGGCCGGUGGUAUACCCGUUCGCCUACUCUAUCCUACCUAGGUGCUCUUCACCGAGUGUCGAGGUAGGCCGACACGUUUACUUUGAACAAAUUAGAGUGCUCAAAGCAGGCUGAAAUCUCUGCCUGAAUAGUGGUGCAUGGAAUAAUAAAACAGGACCUUGGUUCUAUUUUGUUGGUUCUUAGGAACACAAGGUAAUGAUCAAUACGGACAGGCGGGGGCAUUCGUAUUGCGACGUUAGAGGUGAAAUUCCUUGGAUCGUCGCAAGACGCACAAGAGCGAAAGCAGCCAGCCAGCGAUCCGCCGAUGUUCCUCCGAUGACUCGGCGGGGAGCUUCUUCCCGGGAAACCAAAGCUUUUGGGUUCCGGGGGAAGUAUGGUUGCAAAGCUGAAACUUAAAGGAAUUGACGGAAGGGCACCACCAGGAGUGGAGCCUGCGGCUUAAUUUGACUCAACACGGGAAACCUCACCAGGCCAGGACAUUGGAAGGAUUGACAGAUUGAUAGCUCUUUCUUGAUUCAGUGGGUAGUGGUGCAUGGCCGUUCUUAGUUGGUGGAUCGAUUUGUCUGGUUAAUUCCGAUAACGAACGAGACUCUAGCCUAUUAACUAGGCGUUUUCCGGUGCCCCCGUCACCGGCGACAAUCAUUCUUCUUAAGGGGACAGGCGGCUUAUAGCCGCACGAGAUUGAGCAAUAACAGGUCUGUGAUGCCCUUAGAUGUCCUGGGCCGCACGCGCGCUACACUGAAGGAAUCAGCGUGUACCUCCCUGACCGAAAGGUCCGGGUAAUCCGCUGAACCUCCUGCGUGCUAGGAAUUGGGGCUUGCAAUUGUUCCCCAUGAACGAGGAAUUCCCAGUAAGCGCGAGUCAUAAGCUCGCGUUGAUUACGUCCCUGCCCUUUGUACACACCGCCCGUCGCUACUACCGAUUGAAUGAUUUAGUGAGGUCUUCGGACUGGCGGUAAUCACUGCUGACUUGUUGGUAGCGAUGAACGCUGGAAAGAUGACCAAACUUGAUCAUUUAGAGGAAGUAAAAGUCGUAACAAGGUUUCCGUAGGUGA
rnacentral:rRNA from 1 species